GAUGAACGCUGGCGGCGUGCCUAAUACAUGCAAGUCGAGCGAACGGACGUGAAGCUUGCUUCUCUGAUGUUAGCGGCGGACGGGUGAGUAACACGUGGAUAACCUACCUAUAAGACUGGGAUAACUUCGGGAAACCGGAGCUAAUACCGGAUAAUAUUUUGAACCGCAUGGUUCAAAAGUGAAAGACGGUCUUGCUGUCACUUAUAGAUGGAUCCGCGCUGCAUUAGCUAGUUGGUAAGGUAACGGCUUACCAAGGCAACGAUGCAUAGCCGACCUGAGAGGGUGAUCGGCCACACUGGAACUGAGGCACGGUCCAGACUCCUACGGGAGGCAGCAGUAGGGAAUCUUCCGCAAUGGGCGAAAGCCUGACGGAGCAACGCCGCGUGAGUGAUGAAGGUCUUCGGAUCGUAAAACUCUGUUAUUAGGGAAGAACAUAUGUGUAAGUAACUGUGCACAUCUUGACGGUACCUAAUCAGAAAGCCACGGCUAACUACGUG
rnacentral:rRNA from 1 species